AUGGGCGCUUCCCUCCUGGUACUCUACACCGUUGGCAGGUCUCCCCUCCUCCCCCUCAGGCCUCCUGCUCUUGCUCCCCGCUGGCCCUGGGUCACAGGUUUAAAGCUGGAAGAAGCUCAUCUUGAAGAUAAGGAAACAGAGUGGUGUGGUAGUGGGUGCUCCGGCCAUCUUGGGAGAAUGGACGCCUCCCUCUCUGGGGAGCCCCGAGAAAGGACGUGGUCCAAUGGAAGCCAGUUGCGUUGUAGAAGCCGCCUGGUGAAGGUCCAGACACGUUGUCUGGCCUUUGUGCCCUCCCUUUCAGUCCUCCAUCCGAGAUCUUCCUUUCCUUCUCCUUUUUGAACCAGGACUGAGUUUCCAGAGUCCCAGGAGAGAGUUGAGCUCAUCAUUACUAAUUUGGCCGUUAAAAAAAUAUGGGUACCAUUUGGAUGGGAGCAAUUCAAGUCAGUUCUACUUGACUCAAAGAUAUGUAGUUAUAUCAGUACUGCUGCUCACUCCCCCAGUGCAUAUUGUGACCCAUCUCCAACUCAGAAGAGGAC
rnacentral:lncRNA from 1 species